GACGAACCACACAAACGUUAUUCGGAAUUACUGGGCUUAAAGGGUGCGUAGGCUGCGCAGAAAGUUGGGUGUGAAAUCCCUCGGCUCAACCGAGGAACUGCGCCCAAUACUACUGUGCUCGAGGGAGACAGAGGUGAGCGGAACUUAGGGUGGAGCGGUGAAAUGCGUUGAUAUCCUAAGGAACACCCGUGGCGAAAGCGGCUCACUGGGUCUUUUCUGACGCUGAGACACGAAAGCUAGGGUAGCGAACGGG
rnacentral:rRNA from 1 species